UAGGGGAGCCGGAGGGAAACCGAGUCUUAAUUGGGCGUUAAGUUGCAGGGUAUAGACCCGAAACCCGGUGAUCUAGCCAUGGGCAGGUUGAAGGUUGGGUAACACUAACUGGAGGACCGAACCGACUAAUGUUGAAAAAUUAGCGGAUGACCUGUGGCUGGGGGUGAAAGGCCAAUCAAACCGGGAGAUAGCUGGUUCUCCCCGAAAGCUAUUUAGGUAGCGCCUCGUGAAUUCAUCUCCGGGGGUAGAGCACUGUUUCGGCUAGGGGGCCAUCCCGGCUUACCAACCCGAUGCAAACUGCGAAUACCGGAGAAUGUUAUCACGGGAGACACACGGCGGGUGCUAACGUCCGUCGUGAAGAGGGAAACAACCCAGACCGCCAGCUAAGGUCCCAAAGUCAUGGUUAAGUGGGAAACGAUGUGGGAAGGCCCAGACAGCCAGGAUGUUGGCUUAGAAGCAGCCAUCAUUUAAAGAAAGCGUAAUAGCUCACUGGUCGAGUCGGCCUGCGCGGAAGAUGUAACGGGGCUAAACCAUGCACCGAAGCUGCGGCAGCGAACGUAUCACUUAAAGCGAUUCAGCGGGUUACGAUUGACGGAGCGAAGCGACGUCAAAGCGUAUACAAAGUCGAGUCGGUUUAAGGAUACGUUCGUUGGGUAGGGGAGCGUUCUGUAAGCCUGUGAAGGUGGCCUGUGAGGGUUGCUGGAGGUAUCAGAAGUGCGAAUGCUGACAUAAGUAACGAUAAAGCGGGUGAAAAGCCCGCUCGCCGGAAGACCAAGGGUUCCUGUCCAACGUUAAUCGGGGCAGGGUGAGUCGACCCCUAAGGCGAGGCCGAAAGGCGUAGUCGAUGGGAAACGGGUUAAUAUUCCCGUACUUGGUGUUACUGCGAAGGGGGGACGGAGAAGGCUAUGUUGGCCGGGCGACGGUUGUCCCGGUUUAAGCGUGUAGGCUGGUUUUCCAGGCAAAUCCGGAAAAUCAAGGCUGAGGCGUGACGACGAGGCACUACGGUGCUGAAGCAACAAAUGCCCUGCUUCCAGGAAAAGCCUCUAAGCAUCAGGUAACAUCAAAUCGUACCCCAAACCGACACAGGUGGUCAGGUAGAGAAUACCAAGGCGCUUGAGAGAACUCGGGUGAAGGAACUAGGCAAAAUGGUGCCGUAACUUCGGGAGAAGGCACGCUGACACGUAGGUGAAGUGAUUUACUCAUGGAGCUGAAGUCAGUCGAAGAUACCAGCUGGCUGCAACUGUUUAUUAAAAACACAGCACUGUGCAAACACGAAAGUGGACGUAUACGGUGUGACGCCUGCCCGGUGCCGGAAGGUUAAUUGAUGGGGUCAGCGCAAGCGAAGCUCCUGAUCGAAGCCCCGGUAAACGGCGGCCGUAACUAUAACGGUCCUAAGGUAGCGAAAUUCCUUGUCGGGUAAGUUCCGACCUGCACGAAUGGCGUAAUGAUGGCCAGGCUGUCUCCACCCGAGACUCAGUGAAAUUGAACUCGCUGUGAAGAUGCAGUGUACCCGCGGCAAGACGGAAAGACCCCGUGAACCUUUACUAUAGCUUGACACUGAACAUUGAGCCUUGAUGUGUAG
rnacentral:rRNA from 1 species